CUCAAUAUUCGGCCUAGUCUCGGAAACGAGAACGGAGGAACCAAUCAACAGGGGUUAAUUCUGCUAUUGCAGAAGGGAUGAGAUUCAAACUCUUUCGCCAUCCUACCCGUCAGCUAACUUCGUCGGCUAAAGCGAAGGAGGUC
rnacentral:sRNA from 2 species